GACAGAGGUGGCAAGCGUUGUUCGGAUUUAUUGGGUGUAAAGGGCAGGUAGGUUGUUAUGUAAGUCUGGUGUGAAAGCCCACGGCUCAACCGUGGAAUGGCAUUGGAAACUGCAUGACUUGAGUACCGGAGAGGUGAAGGGAAUUCUCGGUGUAAGGGUGAAAUCUGUAGAUAUCGAGAGGAACACCAGUGGCGAAGGCGCUUCACUGGCCGGUUACUGACACUGAGCUGCGAAAGCAAGGGGAGCAAACAGG
rnacentral:rRNA from 1 species